rnacentral:rRNA from 1 species
AGUGAACGCUGGCGGUAGGCCUAACACAUGCAAGUCGAACGGCAGCACAGUAAGAGCUUGCUCUUACGGGUGGCGAGUGGCGGACGGGUGAGGAAUACAUCGGAAUCUACUUUUUCGUGGGGGAUAACGUAGGGAAACUUACGCUAAUACCGCAUACGACCUACGGGUGAAAGCAGGGGAUCUUCGGACCUUGCGCGAUUGAAUGAGCCGAUGUCGGAUUAGCUAGUUGGCGGGGUAAAGGCCCACCAAGGCGACGAUCCGUAGCUGGUCUGAGAGGAUGAUCAGCCACCCUGGAACUGGGCCACGGUCCAGACUCCUACGGGAGGCAGCAGUGGGGAAUAUUGGACAAUGGGCGCAAGCCUGAUCCAGCCAUACCGCGUGGGUGAAGAAGGCCUUCGGGUUGUAAAGCCCUUUUGUUGGGAAAGAAAAGCAGCAGGUUAAUACCCCGCUGUUCUGACGGUACCCAAAGAAUAAGCACCGGCUAACUUCGUG